AUGAACGCUGGCGGCGUGCCUAAUACAUGCAAGUCGAGCGAACAGACGAGGAGCUUGCUCCUCUGACGUUAGCGGCGGACGGGUGAGUAACACGUGGAUAACCUACCUAUAAGACUGGGAUAACUUCGGGAAACCGGAGCUAAUACCGGAUAAUAUAUUGAACCGCAUGGUUCAAUAGUGAAAGACGGUUUUGCUGUCACUUAUAGAUGGAUCCGCGCCGCAUUAGCUAGUUGGUAAGGUAACGGCUUACCAAGGCAACGAUGCGUAGCCGACCUGAGAGGGUGAGCGGGGGAGGGGGAAGUGAGACACGGGGCAGAGUGCGAGGGGAGGGAGGAGGAGGGAAGCUGGCGCGAUGGGCGAAGGCCGGACGGAGGAACGCGGCGUGAGUGAUGAAGGGCGUCGGAGCGGAAAAGUGUGUUAUGAGGGAAGAACAAAUGUGUAAGUAACUAGGCACGUCUUGAGGGUAGCUAAUGAGAAAGCCAGGGCUAACUACGUG
rnacentral:rRNA from 1 species